rnacentral:rRNA from 1 species
AUUGAACGCUGGCGGCAGGCCUAACACAUGCAAGUCGAGCGGAGCGGCAGACGGGUGCGUGAUGCCUAGGAAUCUGCCUGGUAGUGGGGGCUAACGUCCGGUAACGGGCGCUAAUACCGCAUACUAUCAGAUGAGCCUCGGUCGGAUUAGCUAGUUGGUGGUGUAAAGGCCUACCAAGGCGACGGUCCGUAACUGGUCUGAGAGGAUGAUCAGUCACACUGGAACUGAGACACGGUCCAGACUCCUACGGGAGGCAGCAGUGGGGAAUAUUGGACAAUGGGCGAAAGCCUGAUCCAGCCAUGCCGCGUGUGUGAAGAAGGUCUUCGGAUUGUAAAGCACUUUAAGUUGGGAGGCGUUACCAACAGAAUAAGCACCGGCUAACUUCGUGCCAGCAGCCGCGGUAAUAC